UAGACAUCAGCUUGUCGAUGAUCUUACCCAAGACCAUCGGUAUUAAAAGGAGAAUUGGUACUCCCUGCUCAAACAGCCUUAAUGUCAGUGGUAAUGGACCAUUUACCUAAAAUGAGGCAUAGGGCCAGCAUCACAAUAUUACGUUUUAACGCUAGCAGGUCUGAAAUCUAGAUCACUAACAUAACUAAACCUUGACAAAGUUAUGC